rnacentral:rRNA from 1 species
AGCAGCCGCGGUAAUUCCAGCUCCAAUAGCGUAUAUUAAAGUUGUUGCAGUUAAAAGCUCGUAGUUGAAUUUCGGGAUCAAUAUGUUGGUCGUGCCUCGGUACGUACUAGCUUAUUGGUUUCUCCUUUCUGAAGAACCAUGAUGUCAUUUAUUUGGUGUCGUGGGGAAUCAGGACUGUUACUUUGAAAAAUUAGAGUGUUUAAAGCAGGCUCACGCUUGAAUACAUUAGCAUGGAAUAAUGAAAUAGGACGUUUGAUUCUAUUUUGUUGGUUUCUAGGAUCGACGUAAUGAUUAAUAGGGAUAGUUGGGGGCAUUAGUAUUCAAUUGUCAGAGGUGAAAUUCUUGGAUUUUAUUGAAGACUAACUACUGCGAAAGCAUUUGCCAAGGAUGUUUUCAUUAAUCA